rnacentral:rRNA from 1 species
GGGGAAUAUUGGGCAAUGGGGGAAACCCUGACCCAGCAACGCCGCGUGAAGGAAGAAGGCUUUCGGGUUGUAAACUUCUUUUACCAGGGACGAAGGACGUGACGGUACCUGGAGAAAAAGCCACGGCUAACUACGUGCCAGCAGCCGCGGUAAUACGUAGGUGGCAGGCGUUGUCCGGAUUUACUGGGUGUAAAGGGCGUGUAGGCGGAGAAGCAAGUCAGAAGUGAAAUCCAUGGGCUUAACCCAUGAACUGCUUUUGAAACUGUUUCCCUUGAGUAUCGGAGAGGCAGGCGGAAUUCCUAGUGUAGCGGUGAAAUGCGUAGAUAUUAGGAGGAACACCAGUGGCGAAGGCGGCCUGCUGGACGACAACUGACGCUGAGGCGCGAAAGCGUGGGGAGCAAACAGGAUUAGAUACCCUGGUAGUCCACGCUGUAAACGAUGAAUACUAGGUGUGGGAGGACUGACCCCUUCCGUGCCGCAGUUAACACAAUAAGUAUUCCACCUGGGGAGUACGAUCGCAAGAUUGAAACUCAAAGGAAUUGACGGGGGCCCGCACAAGCAGUGGAUUAUGUGGUUUAAUUCGACGCAACGCGAAGAACCUUACCGGGAUUUGACAUCCUACUAACGAAGCAGAGAUGCAUUAGGUGCCCUUCGGGGAAAGUAGAGACAGGUGGUGCAUGGUUGUCGUCAGCUCGUGUCGUGAGAUGUUGGGUUAAGUCCCGCAACGAGCGCAACCCCUAUUGUUAGUUGCUACGCAAGAGCACUCUAGCGAGACUGCCGUUGACAAAACGGAGGAAGGCGGGGACGACGUCAAAUCAUCAUGCCCCUUAUGUCCCGGGCUACACAUGUAAUACAAUGGCGGUCAACAGAGGGAAGCAAAACCGCGAGGCAGAGCAAACCCCUAAAAGCCGUCUCAGUUCGGAUUGCAGGCUGCAACUCGCCUGCAUGAAGUUGGAAUUGCUAGUAAUCGUGGAUCAGCAUGCCACGGUGAAUACGUUCCCG